rnacentral:rRNA from 1 species
UGGGGAAUAUUGCACAAUGGGCGCAAGCCUGAUGCAGCAACGCCGCGUGAGGGACGACGGCCUUCGGGUUGUAAACCUCUUUUAGUAGGGAAGAAGCGAAAGUGACGGUACCUGCAGAAAAAGCACCGGCUAACUACGUGCCAGCAGCCGCGGUAAUACGUAGGGUGCAAGCGUUGUCCGGAAUUAUUGGGCGUAAAGAGCUCGUAGGCGGUUUGUCGCGUCUGCUGUGAAAACCCGAGGCUCAACCUCGGGCCUGCAGUGGGUACGGGCAGACUAGAGUGCGGUAGGGGAGAUUGGAAUUCCUGGUGUAGCGGUGGAAUGCGCAGAUAUCAGGAGGAACACCGAUGGCGAAGGCAGAUCUCUGGGCCGUAACUGACGCUGAGGAGCGAAAGCAUGGGGAGCGAACA